UGGGGAAUAUUGCACAAUGGGCGCAAGCCUGAUGCAGCAACGCCGCGUGAGGGACGACGGCCUUCGGGUUGUAAACCUCCUUUGGCAGGGAAGAAGCGAAAGUGACGGUACCUGCAGAAAAAGCACCGGCUAACUACGUGCCAGCAGCCGCGGUGAUACGUAGGGUGCAAGCGUUGUCCGGAAUUAUUGGGCGUAAAGAGCUCGUAGGCGGUUUGUCGCGUCUGCUGUGAAAACCCGAGGCUCAACCUCGGGCCUGCAGUGGGUACGGGCAAACUAGAGUGCGGUAGGGGAGAUUGGAAUUCCUGGUGUAGCGGUGGAAUGCGCAGAGAUCAGGAGGAACACCGAUGGCGAAGGCAGAUCUCUGGGCCGUAACUGACGCUGAGGAGCGAAAACAUGGGGAGCGAA
rnacentral:rRNA from 1 species